ACGGGGGGUGCAAGCGUUGUUCGGAAUCAUUGGGCGUAAAGCGCGCGCAGGCGGCUUGGUAAGUCAGAUGUGAAAUCCCUGGGCUUAACCCAGGAAGUGCAUUUGAUACUGCCUGUCUAGAGUACGGGUGAGGAAAGCGGAAUUCCUGGUGUAGAGGUGAAAUGCAUAGAUAUCACGAGGAACACCGAUGGCGAAGGCAGCUUUCUAGCCCGAUACUGACGCUGAUGCGCGAAAGCGUGGGGAUCAAACAG
rnacentral:rRNA from 1 species